rnacentral:rRNA from 1 species
CCUACGGGUGACAGCAGUGAGGAAUAUUGGUCAAUGGGCGCGAGCCUGAACCAGCCAAGUAGCGUGAAGGAUGACUGCCCUACGGGUUGUAAACUUCUUUUAUAAAGGAAUACAGUGAGGCACGUGUGCCUUUUUGUAUGUACUUUAUGAGUAAGGAUCGGCAAACUCCGUGCCAGCAGCCGCGGUAAUACGUAGGAGGCAAGCGUUAUCCGGAAUGACUGGGCGUAAAGGGAGCGUAGGUGGUUUGACAAGUUGGUAGCGUAACUCCGGGGCUCAACGUCGGCACUACCACCAAAACUGUCGGACUUGAGUGCAGGAGGGGCAAAUGGAAUUCCUAGUGUAGGAGUGGAAUGCGUAGAUAUUAGGAGGAACACCAGUGGCGAAGGCGAUUUGCUGGACUGUAACUGACACUGAGGCACGAAAGCGUGGGGAGCAAACAGGAUUAGAUACCCUAGUAGUC